AUACCUUCUCGGCCUUUUGGCUAUGAACUUGUGUAGUAUCUGUUCUUAUCAGUGUGACAGCUCAUAUGAGUCCAAUAGGUCUCAAUUAAUGUCACAACUAUUUUUUUAUGGGAGAAUAUGGUAAACGAGCUUGCUUGUGCCUAUUCUAAGUGUUACUUUUUCAUUGCACAUUCGAAAAUAGUGGCACACCUACA